AUUGAACGCUGGCGGCAGGCCUAACACAUGCAAGUCGAGCGAGCGGCGGACGGGUGAGUAAUGUCUGGGAAACUGCCUGAUGGAGGGGGAUAACUACUGGAAACGGUAGCUAAUACCGCAUACCCUCAGAUGUGCCCCGGUGGGAGUAGAUAGUGGUUGGGGUACAGGCUCACCUAGGCGACGAUCCCUAGCUGGUCUGAGAGGAUGACCAGCCACACUGGAACUGAGAGACGGGCCAGACUCCUACGGGAGGCAGCAGUGGGGAAUAUUGCACAAUGGGCGCAAGCCUGAUGCAGCCAUGCCGCGUGUGUGAAGAAGGCCUUCGGGUUGUAAAGCACUUUCAGCGGGGAGGCGUUACCCGCAGAAGAAGCACCGGCUAACUCCGUGCCAGCCGCCGCGGUAAUUC
rnacentral:rRNA from 1 species